GAUAAUAAACGGGCAUUAAGUAGUAUACCGAAGCUAUGGGUAGAAUUAAUUCUACGGUAGGGGAGCAUUCCAGCGGCAGCGAAGUUAUGACGUAAGUUGUGGUGGAGCUUCUGGAAAAGCAAAUGUAGGCAUAAGUAACGAUAAGGCAGGCGAGAAACCUGCCCGCCGAAAGGAUAAGGUUUCCUGAUCAACGCUAAUCGGAUCAGGGUUAGUCGGGGCCUAAGGAGAACCCGAAGGGGAUAUUCGAUGGACAACUGGUUAAUAUUCCAGUACUUUUUAUAACUGCGAUGUGGGGACGGAGUAGUGACACUGCCGCGAUCUGACGGAAUAGAUCGUUAAAGACUGUAGGUAU
rnacentral:rRNA from 1 species